AUUGCACGCUGGCGGCAGGCCUAACACAUGCAAGUCGAACGAGUGGCGGACGGGUGAGUAAUGUCUGGGAAACUGCCCGAUGGAGGGGGAUAACUACUGGAAACGGUAGCUAAUACCGCAUACCAUCGGAUGUGCCCCGAUGGGCUUAGCUAGUAGGUGGGAUAACGGCUCACCUAGGCGACGAUCCCUAGCUGGUCUGCGAGGAUGACCAGCCACACUGGAACUUAGACACGGUCCAGACUCCUACGGGAGGCAGCAGUGGGGAAUAUUGCACAAUGGGGGCAAGCCUGAUGCAGCCAUGCCGCGUGUAUGAAGAAGGCCUUCGGGUUGUAAAGUACUUUCAGCGAGGAGGCGUUACUCGCAGAAGAAGCACCGGCUAACUCCGUGCCAGCCGCCGCGGUAAUAC
rnacentral:rRNA from 1 species